rnacentral:lncRNA from 1 species
CCCAAGAAACCUUUUUAAUUAAAAUACAUAUAUAUUUCUCUUGAAACACGAAUACAUAAGCGAUAGUAGCACUAACGAUUCAACUAAUGACGAUUUAUUUUGAAUAACCCUUCUCACUAGUAAAUCUAAGUUCUCUUGCUAAAAAUACUAGCGGCAAAUCAAUUUUAAACAUACAAAACUAUUAUUUUCACAUGAUUAAUAUGAAAUUUUGUACAAAAACUAUUUUCCUCUUGCAAAUUUUAACAUUGUCAUCCAAAAAAUCCAACUAAC